rnacentral:misc_RNA from 1 species
GAUGAAGAACGUAGCGAAAUGCGAUAAGUAGUGUGAAUUGCAGAAUUCAGUGAAUCAUCGAAUCUUUGAACGCACCUUGCGCCCUUUGGCCAUUCCGAAGGGCAUGCCUGUUUGAGUAUCAUGAACACCUCAACUCUUUAUGGUUUUCCAUGAUGAGCUUGGACUCUGGGGGUUUUGCUGGCUCACAGUCGGCUCCUCUAAAAUGAAUCAGCUUACCAGUGUUUGGUGGGUAUCAUGGGUGUGAUAACUAUCUACGCUUGUGGUUUUUCCACCAGGUAACCUUCAGCAGUGGAGGUUCGCUGGAGCUCAUAGAUGUCUCUCCUCAGUGAGGACAGCCCUUUGAAUGUUUGAUCUCAAAUCAGGUAGGACUACCCGCUGAACUUAAGCAUAUCAAUAAGCGGAGGA